CUCAGGAAAAGAAGAAGUGUAUUAUAUUAAAAGGGUAAAAAUAUAAGGUUACAAAGUUAUUUGACAUCUUAAGGAGUGUCAAUAAGAAAGUCAUUUUGCCAAGAGAAAAGAAGA